UUCAGGAACUGGAACAACUUCCUUCGAAGACUUUUUUCCCCCAGACACUUCACAGGGUUGGCAGGGCCUGUAGCACCAUUAGAUCAAUUCUUAGGGGGCGUGGCUUCUACACACCUGGGCACCUGGGCAGUGAGGGGGCGUGGCUCAUUUCACUCAGCUGGACAAACUCGGCAAGCCCAGGUUAGGGCGUUGCCAAGGAGUCACCUGGUCCCCACGACUAACAUGUGACCAGGUCUGUGCCCCAGAGGGGCGGGGCCUCACCUGUUCUUUCCUCUCAGGCCUGCCCACGUGACAGAAGCAGGUGGUCAGGUCAGAGUCCAACGGCCCAGCCAGCCUACGACCUAUUCCUCCUUCCAGCCCCGAGAGAGGAAAGAAGACCACCACAGGGCGAGAGGAGAGGGCGCACACCUGACCCAGCCCCGCCCCCCGACCUACCCAGCUGAAAGAAGUCCUGUUUAGCCGCGUUACGGUAUGGGCGGAGAGAGAUUAAUACAUCCCGUAGACGUGGAGUAAGACGAUCCUCAAAAGAGUCUUCCCUGGAGAAGUGACUCUGGGGUCCUCCGAGAAGGCACGGAUGUGGUCGGGAGCAGGAAUGGUCAAGGAGGCAGAUAGCCUGAAUAAAAGACUACGCGCUUGUCCAGCCGGGAGUCGCCCUCUCUGAGCGCAGCUGCUCCUUCACAGCCCCCGGUGCUUUGAGCAUCUUCCUGCUUUAAAAUCUUGGCUAGGCCAAAGCUGCGGGUCACUUGAAGCCCACCAGGGGGCAAACAGACGGCAGGAACGCAUCCUUCUGGGAAAAGGGUGCGUCCACCGGUUGAGCAAGCUUAGGUGAUCACUGAGGGCACAAAAGAAAGACUUACCGAUUUUUAACAAUAAAGUCUUAAGACAUCA